AGGCACCACGCUUGCACUGCGGUUCUGAGCGCGCCGUCCGCGCCCACCUGACAGCUGCUCGCUCUGUUUUGUUAGCC
rnacentral:sRNA from 3 species